AUGGCAUCAUGAGUCCACAUGUUCACAUGAUUAAAGGUAUUCCGGUAGACGAUGGGGAUGCGUUCCAUUAGAUAGUAGGCGGGGUAACGGCCCACCUAGUCUUCGAUGGAUAGGGGUUCUGAGAGGAAGGUCCCCCACAUUGGAACUGAGACACGGUCCAAACUCCUACGGGAGGCAGCAGUGAGGAAUAUUGGUCAAUGGGCGAGAGCCUGAACCAGCCAAGUAGCGUGAAGGAUGACUGCCCUAUGGGUUGUAAACUUCUUUUAUAAAGGAAUAAAGUCGGGUAUGCAUACCCGUUUGCAUGUACUUUAUGAAUAAGGAUCGGCUAACUCCGUGCCAGCAGCCGCGGUAAUACGGAGGAUCCGAGCGUUAUCCGGAUUUAUUGGGUUUAAAGGGAGCGUAGAUGGAUGUUUAAGUCAGUUGUGAAAGUUUGCGGCUCAACCGUAAAAUUGCAGUUGAUACUGGAUAUCUUGAGUGCAGUUGAGGCAGGCGGAAUUCGUGGUGUAGCGGUGAAUGCUUAGAUAUCACGAAGAACUCCGAUUGCGAAGGCAGCCUGCUAAGCGUGCAACUGACAUUGAGGCUCG
rnacentral:rRNA from 1 species